CUCUUUCGGAGCAACACGAUAACUACCUUUUGUUGAACUUUUAUGCAGUUGUUAAAACUCUUCCUCAAAACCAAAUCCGAAAAUAACUCAGUCUCUCAUCCUUCCGCAAUUAUUAUCCGCACGGAAGAAAGAAGGGAAACGUGAGGGUCAAUGGGGAAAAGGGGAAUAUUAAAAUCGUACUGAGAGCAGCGAAACGCAAAGUUCCGGAAAUCGGAGAUCCGGAAUUCCCACAAAAAUCUGUACCUCGAGAAGACAGAUGGAUCGCUGAUAAAUUCUCCCGCCCGAGCUAUCGGGUGAACGAGAAAGGAUAGCUGAGAGAACGAGACAGGGAGAGUUGAAGUUUACGAGUCACUGACUUUUCGAAACGUGAAAAUAUUGAAGAAGUCUGGAAGACGUGCUCAGCCCAUGCGAAUAUUCCUGCACAGUAUACGUCCAUGUGAAAAGUUGAGCGAAGCCGAGUACAGGUUCCCCCGUUUUUCUCUCGCUAGAUUUCACUCUUUCCGUAUUCCGAUGAAAAAUUCAAUGCGACGCGGGAGAAAAGAGGCUCCAGAUGCAAAUUAAGGGUAAUAAGGAACGUGGAUGUAGCGAAGAUAAAUAAAUAGGCAGUGAGACAUGUCCAUCCUGACGAUGGGAACAAGGUAGAUCGAGCCUGGGAGAGACAAUGUGGAGGCAAACAUGAUUCCAUCGUUGAAUCCUAUGUUGAUCCAACUUGAUCCGUAUAUGCUCCUUCGAAUCUCAAUCCAAUCUUGAAGGAGUCUUGUCCAGGAGUUAUCAAUGAUAAUUAAUUAUUGGGAAAUUAUCAGACAAUUGGAAGGGUUGAUAGAGGGUUGUCGGUGAAGCCUCGAUGGACUUAGGAAAUUCCAGCCUGAACACGUAGUGAGUUUUCGAACUUCAUCCAAACUUGGUUCGACCUUGAGACUCUAGGUUCGAUUCGUCUUGGUCAAUACUGAAUCAAACUUGAUCAAUGAAUCUUCAUUUUACCGUUUAUUCGCACCUGGGUACAUGCGAACAGAGGAAAAUUUUUGCCUAUUUUUACGAUGUCAGAUGGACUUUUUCUAUCUGAUGGUGAUCAGCUGUGUGCACUAGUACGCAGUGGCAGUGCGCAGUCCGAAUCAAAUCCUUUUCUCAGACUGAACGCAAAGUGAAGUGAAUCAACUUCUACAAAACUUGUCCAAAUAUUCUGUGUUAUUUAUCGUCAAUUUAAGAAGAAAACGUUGAAAACUGUA